CCUACGGGUGGCUGCAGUGAGGAAUAUUGGUCAAUGGACGAGAGUCUGAACCAGCCACGUAGCGUGAAGGAUGACUGCCCUAUGGGUUGUAAACUUCUUUUAUAAAGGAAUAAAACGAGGCACGUGUGCCUUUUUGCAUGUCCUUUAUGAAUAACGAUCGGCUAACUCCUUGCCAGCAACCGCGGUAAUACGGAGGAUCCGAGCGUUAUCCGGAUUUAUUGGGUUUAAAGGGAGCGUAGAUGGGUUGUUAAGGUAGUUGGGAAAGUUUGCGGCUCAACCGUAAAAUUGAAAUUGAUACUGGCAGUCUUGUGUACAGUGGAGGUAGGCGGAAUUCGUGGUGUAGCGGUGAAAUGCUGAGAUAUCACGAAGAACCCCGAUUGCGAAGGCAGCUUACUAAACUGUGACUGACAUUGAUGCUCGAAAGUGUGGGUAUCAAACAGGAUUAGAUACCCCGGUAGUC
rnacentral:rRNA from 1 species